UGGGGAAUAUUGGGCAAUGGGCGAAAGCCUGACCCAGCAACGCCGCGUGAAUGAAGAAGGCCUUCGGGUUGUAAAGUUCUGUCCUAUGGGACGAAGAAAGUGACGGUACCAUAGGAGGAAGCCCCGGCUAACUACGUGCCAGCAGCCGCGGUAAUACGUAGGGGGCGAGCGUUGUCCGGAAUUACUGGGCGUAAAGGGUGCGCAGGCGGCGCUUUAAGUCAGAUGUGAAAUACCCGGGCUUAACUCGGGGGGUGCAUUUGAAACUGGAGUGCUUGAGUGCAGGAGAGGAAAGUGGAAUUCCUAGUGUAGCGGUGAAAUGCGUAGAUAUUAGGAGGAACACCAGUGGCGAAGGCGACUUUCUGGACUGUAACUGACGCUGAGGCACGAAAGCGUGGGGAGCAAACA
rnacentral:rRNA from 1 species